GAUGAACGCUAGCGGCAGGCUUAAUACAUGCAAGUCGAGGGGCAGCAUGAUUGUAGCAAUACAAUUGAUGGCGACCGGCAAACGGGUGCGGAACACGUACACAACCUCCCAAUAAGUGGGGAAUAGCCCAGAGAAAUUUGGAUUAAUACCCCGUAACAUAACGAUGUGGCAUCACAUUGUUAUUAUAGAUUUUUCGCUUAUUGAUGGGUGUGCGGCUGAUUAGAUAGUUGGCGGGGUAACGGCCCACCAAGUCUACGAUCAGUAGCUGAUGUGAGAGCAUGAUCAGCCACACGGGCACUGAGACACGGGCCCGACUCCUACGGGAGGCAGCAGUAAGGAAUAUUGGACAAUGGACGCAAGUCUGAUCCAGCCAUGCCGCGUGAAGGAUUAAGGUCCUCUGGAUUGUAAACUUCUUUUAUAAGGGACGAAAAAAGGCUUUUCUAAGUCGUCUGACGGUACCUUAUGAAUAAGCACCGGCUAACUCCGUGCCAGCCGCCGCCGUAACAC
rnacentral:rRNA from 1 species